rnacentral:rRNA from 1 species
UACGUAGGGGGCUAGCGUUGUCCGGAAUCAUUGGGCGUAAAGAGCGUGUAGGCGGCUUGGUAAGUCCGCUGUGAAAGUCCAGGGCUCAACCCUGGAAUGCCAGUGGAUACUGUCAAGCUAGAGUCCGGAAGAGGCGAGUGGAAUUCCUGGUGUAGCGGUGAAAUGCGCAGAUACCAGGAAGAACACCCGUGGCGAAGGCGGCUCUCUGGGACGGUACUGACGCUGAGACGCGAAAGCGUGGGGAGCGAACAGG